CAGAGCCAUGUUUGCCAGACCCAGGCUGGCUGGAAUCCCUUCAUCUGGGAUUAAAGGUGUGAGCAACCAUGCCAGCCCAUGAGAGAGUUUUGUAAGAGCAGUGGUUACAGGAAAGGCAAGUUGUGAUCAGAUUGGAACAUUUAAACAUAUCAGAGUGACUGUUACCCUGCAGGACUGUCAGUGUAUAUGUGGGGUGGGGAGAAUGCACAAGUGUUUGAACAAGAAGCAGCUUGGCCCUGUUGGAGAGUCUGAAGGAGGAGAGGCAGGAGGCACAGGAAAUCUGUGCUUUUCACGGCUUCCAGAACUACUAUUCCAAAAAGCCCAGAGAAAGGAGACACAAAUUCAUCUUUCUGGCAAGUCUCUGAUGUCUCUGAUGACUACAUUCAAGGGGAAGGGAGCUGAACUCCAGUGCAGCACUAAG
rnacentral:lncRNA from 1 species